GUUGGCUAAUCCUGGUCGGACAUCAGGAGGUUAGUGCAAUGGCAUAAGCCAGCUUGACUGCGAGCGUGACGGCGCGAGCAGGUGCGAAAGCAGGUCAUAGUGAUCCGGUGGUUCUGAAUGGAAGGGCCAUCGCUCAACGGAUAAAAGGUACUCCGGGGAUAACAGGCUGAUACCGCCCAAGAGUUCAUAUCGACGGCGGUGUUUGGCACCUCGAUGUCGGCUCAUCACAUCCUGGGGCUGAAGUAGGUCCCAAGGGUAUGGCUGUUCGCCAUUUAAAGUGGUACGCGAGCUGGGUUUAGAACGUCGUGAGACAGUUCGGUCCCUAUCUGCCGUGGGCGCUGGAGAACUGAGGGGGGCUGCUCCUAGUACGAGAGGACCGGAGUGGACGCAUCACUGGUGUUCGGGUUGUCAUGCCAAUGGCACUGCCCGGUAGCUAAAUGCGGAAGAGAUAAGUGCUGAAAGCAUCUAAGCACGAAACUUGCC
rnacentral:rRNA from 1 species